GACAGAGGGUGCAAACGUUGCUCGGAAUCACUGGGCUUAAAGCGUGUGUAGGCGGACUUCUAAGUACCUUGUGAAAUCCCACGGCUUAACUGUGGAACUGCUUGGUAUACUGGUCGUCUUGAGCCACUUAGGGGCUACCGGAACAGAUGGUGGAGCGGUGAAAUGCGUAGAUAUCAUUUGGAACGCCAAUGGUGAAAACAGGUCGCUGGGGCUGUGCUGACGCUGAGACACGAAAGCCAGGGGAGCAAACGGG
rnacentral:rRNA from 1 species